CAGCGCCAUAAGUAGCAAUCAGAAUUAUUGGGCCUAAAGCGUCCGUAGCCGGUUUGAUCAGUCUUUUGUGAAAUCGUUGGGCUUAACUUAACGUUGUGCAAGAGAUACUAUCAAACUUGAAACCGGGAGGAGUCAGAGGUAUUCUUGGGGGAGCGGUAAAAUGCUAUAAUCCCUGGAAGACCGCCUGUGGCGAAAGCGUCUGACUAGAACGGCUUUGACGGUGAGGGACGAAAGCCAGGGGAGCGAACCGGAUUAGAGACCCGAGUAGUCC
rnacentral:rRNA from 1 species